GAGAAGCUGAGGUUCUGAUGGAGAACAGUCAGUGUUACCAUGGGAACAGGUCGACCUGUGGCUGAACAGGUCACAACCGACCCUGGAGGAGAGUUUGAUCUGCUGAUAGUAAUGAAGGGUCCAUGCAGCUCUAUGGAGAGAACAGACAUGAUGGUUGACAUUAAAUUAUAGAAAUGAACCCUGUAAUCCUCUUGGUGCAUGCUAGGUGGUAGCAUACUGGACUAGCUGUGAAUUUCAUACCAUUUUUUAAAAAACGGCUCCUUCUGGUUUUGACUGCUUUGCAGCUUGGAAGCAGUUUUGCUACUGAUUUAUUUUUGGGCAUUUGUCAUGAUGCGCAACCAUAAUAAGAAGACGGUUUACAACAUGAGUAACUUCUAAAGAAGAGCUGCAAAAGCAAAUGUGGAUAAGCGGUGCUCAUGAACAACAGAUGGUGUCGUCCAUGUUGCUGUGAAGUGUCGUUUCUGGAACUGUCCAUAUUAUUUACCAAGAGAAAGUGUUACUUUGACAACUGCUCACAUUCCACCCUCAGCUGCUACUGACGAUGCAUAAUUUCAUCAGUUCAGUUGUUAAGCUGAAGACAUUACACCCCAAGGUAUUUGUGGCAACAUUUGUGGAUUUCAGCCACGCCCAAUAUCAGCUGCAGUUACAUUUCAACAGUUUGACAGCUGCCCUACCAGA